GGGGAAUUUUCCGCAAUGGGCGAAAGCCUGACGGAGCAAUACCGCGUGAGGGAGGAAGGCUCUUGGGUCGUAAACCUCUUUUCUCAAGGAAGAAGAAAGUGACGGUACUUGAGGAAUAAGCAUCGGCUAACUCCGUGCCAGCAGCCGCGGNUAAUACGGAGGAUGCAAGCGUUAUCCGGAAUGAUUGGGCGUAAAGGGUCUGCAGGUGGAACUGAAAGUCUGCUGUUAAAGAGUUUGGCUUAACCAAAUAAAAGCGGUGGAAACUACAGAACUAGAGUGCGGUAGGGGCAAAAGGAAUUCCUGGUGUAGCGGUGAAAUGCGUAGAUAUCAGGAAGAACACCGGUGGCGAAAGCGUUUUGCUAGACCGUAACUGACACUGAGGGACGAAAGCUAGGGGAGCGAAUGGGAUUAGAUACCCCAGNUAGUC
rnacentral:rRNA from 1 species